GGUGGAAAUAUUAGAGACAAGACUAUGGUUUUUGCUACAUUUUUUCGUAGUUUGCCCUCUGUACCUCUUACUAUAAUCAAAAUAGCCCAAUAGCAAAUCGCACAAGGUCUACAAGUAGCCACUGCCAAACUGCACUGUGGUGGGUUUAUAGACACCGCCCAAAUAUUGUAUCCAAUACAAUAGUGCUGUCCAUUUAUUAUUAACAAAUAAGGGUAAUGUUUUAACCCAUAUAAACAGGUGUAAGUAAGCGUCUUGCAUUUACUGACAGGAUUCUGUGAUGGGGCACGAGCAAG